rnacentral:rRNA from 1 species
CGAUCCCGCAAGGGAUAGUGGCAGAAGGGUUAGUAACGCGUGGGUAAUCUACCCUCGGGCGGGGGAUAACCUUCCGAAAGGAGGGCUAAUACCGCAUAAAAUUACGGUUUCGCAUGAAGCUGUAAUCAAAGAUGGCUCGCAAGGGCGAUCACCGGAGGAUGAACCUGCGUCCUAUCAGCUAGUUGGUGAGGUAACGGCCCACCAAGGCUUUUGACGGGUAGCUGGUCUAAGAGGACGAUCAGCAACACUGGGACUGAGACACUGCCCAGACUCCUACGGGAGGCUGCAGUCGAGGAUCUUUAUCAAUGCCCGAAAGGGUGAAUAUGCGACGCCGCGUGCAGGAUGAAGGCCUUCGGGUUGUAAACUGCUGUCAGGGGUGAGGAAAUCCCGUAUGUUAAUAGCAGACGGGGCUGACGUUAACCCCAGAGGAAGCCACGGCUAACUCUGUGCCAGCAGCCGCGGUAAUACAGAGGCGGCAAGCGUUGUUCGGAUUUAUUGGGUGUAAAGGGCAGGUAGGCGGUUGAUUAAGUCCGCUGUGAAAUCCCAGGGCUCAACCCUGGAACUGCAGUGGAAACUACUCAACUUGAGAACCGGAGGGGUGAGGGGAAUUCUCGGUGUAAGGGUGAAAUCUGUAGAUAUCGAGAGGAAUACCAGUGGCGAAGGCGCCUCACUGGACGGUUACUGACGCUGAGCUGCGAAAGCUAGGGGAGCAAACAGGAUUAGAUACCCUGGUAGUCCUAGCCGUAAACGAUGUAGAUUAGGUGUUGGGAGUGUCGAUCCUCCCGGCGCCGACGUUAACAC